GGCGGUAUGCUUAACACAUGCAAGUCGAACGGUGUCUUCGGACACAGUGGCGGACGGGUGAGUAACGCGUGAGAAUCUGGCUCUAGGUCUGGGACAACCACUGGAAACGGUGGCUAAUACCGGAUGUGCCCUGUGGGGUGAAAGGCUUGCUGCCUAGAGAUGAGCUCGCGUCUGAUUAGCUAGUUGGAAGUGUAAUGGACUCCCAAGGCGACGAUCAGUAGCUGGUCUGAGAGGACGAUCAGCCACACUGGGACUGAGACACGGCCCAGACUCCUACGGGAGGCAGCAGUGGGGAAUUUUCCGCAAUGGGCGAAAGCCUGACGGAGCAAUACCGCGUGAGGGAGGAAGGCUCUUGGGUCGUAAACCUCUUUUCUUAGGGAAGAACACAAUGACGGUACCUGAGGAAUAAGCAUCGGCUAACUCCGUGCCAGCAGCCGCGGUAAUACGGAGGAUGCAAGCGUUAUCCGGAAUGAUUGGGCGUAAAGCGUCCGCAGGUGGCAAUGAAAGUCUGCUGUUAAAGAGUCUAGCUCAACUAGAUAGAAGCAGUGGAAACUACAUAGCUAGAGUACGUUCGGGGCAGAGGGAAUUCCUGGUGUAGCGGUGAAAUGCGUAGAGAUCAGGAAGAACACCAGUGGCGAAGGCGCUCUGCUAGGCCGUAACUGACACUGAGGGACGAAAGCUAGGGGAGCGAAUGGGAUUAGAUAC
rnacentral:rRNA from 1 species